rnacentral:rRNA from 1 species
UACGUAGGGUGCGAGCGUUAAUCGGAAUUACUGGGCGUAAAGCGUGCGCAGGCGGUUUUGUAAGCCAGAUGUGAAAUCCCCGGGCUCAACCUGGGAAUGGCAUUUGGGACUGCAAGGCUGGAGUGCGGCAGAGGAGACUGGAAUUCCCGGUGUAGCAGUGAAAUGCGUAGAUAUCGGGAGGAAUACCGAUGGCGAAGGCAGGUCUCUGGGCUGACACUGACGCUCAUGCACGAAAGCGUGGGGAGCAAACAGGAUUAGAUACCCGAGUAGUCC